rnacentral:rRNA from 1 species
ACCUCGAAUCAGGUAGGAAUACCCGCUGAACUUAAGCAUAUCAAUAAGCGGAGGAAAAGAAACCAACAGGGAUUGCCCCAGUAACGGCGAGUGAAGCGGCAACAGCUCAAAUUUGAAAUCUGGGCCCCCAGGGUCCGAGUUGUAAUUUGCAGAGGAUGCUUUUGGCAAGGUGCCUUCCGAGUUCCCUGGAACGGGACGCCAUAGAGGGUGAGAGCCCCGUCUGGUUGGAUACCGAGCCUCUGUAAAGCUCCUUCGACGAGUCGAGUAGUUUGGGAAUGCUGCUCUAAAUGGGAGGUAUAUGUCUUCUAAAGCUAAAUAUUGGCCAGAGACCGAUAGCGCACAAGUAGAGUGAUCGAAAGAUGAAAAGCACUUUGAAAAGAGGGUUAAAUAGUACGUGAAAUUGUUGAAAGGGAAGCGCUCAUGACCAGACUUGGGCCCGGUGAAUCAUCCAGCGCUCGUCGCUGGUGCACUUUGCCGGGCUCAGGCCAGCAUCAGUUCGCUCCGGGGGACAAAGGCUCUGGGAAUGUGGCUCCUCCGGGAGUGUUAUAGCCCACUGCGCAAUACCCUGGGGCGGACUGAG